UACACUCCUACGGGAGGCAGCAGUGGGGAAUUUUGGACAAUGGGCGAAAGCCUGAUCCAGCAAUGCCGCGUGUGUGAAGAAGGCCUUCGGGUUGUAAAGCACUUUUGUCCGGAAAGAAAUCCUUGGCUCUAAUACAGUCGGGGGAUGACGGUACCGGAAGAAUAAGCACCGGCUAACAACGUGCCAGCAGCCGCGGUAAUACGUAGGGUGCGAGCGUUAAUCGGAAUUACUGGGCGUAAAGCGUGCGCAGGCGGUUUGCUAAGACCGAUGUGAAAUCCCCGGGCUCAACCUGGGAACUGCAUUGGUGACUGGCAGGCUAGAGUAUGGCAGAGGGGGGUAGAAUUCCACGUGUAGCAGUGAAAUGCGUAGAGAUGUGGAGGAAUACCUAUGGCGAAGGCAGCCCCCUGGGCCAAUACUGACGCUCAUGCACGAAAGCGUGGGGAGCAAACAGGAUUAGAAACCCUAGUAGUCCCA
rnacentral:rRNA from 1 species